rnacentral:rRNA from 1 species
GGGGGGGGGGGGGGGGGGGCGAGGGCGUGCCGGGCGAGGGGGCCGGGGGGGGGGUUUGCUCCCGGACGUUCGCGGCCGGCGGGGGGGUCCCCACGUGGUAACCCACCUUUUAGUCUGGGCUUACUUCGGGAAACCCGUGCUCAUUCCGGCUACCUUAUUGAACCCCCUUGUUCACUAGUGAACACGCUUUUUCUGUCUCCUAUAGAUCUAUCCGCGCUGCAUUAGCUCGUUGGUAAGGUAACGGCUUACCAAGGCAACGCUGCGUAGCCGACCUGAGAGGGGGAUUGGCCACACUGGAACUGAGACACGGUCCAGACUCCUACGGGAGGCAGCAGUAGGGAAUCUUCCGCAAUGGGCGAAAGCCUGACGGAGCAACGCCGCGUGAGUGAAGAAGGUCUUCGGAUCGUAAAACUCUGUUAUUAGGGAAGAACAAAUGUGUAAGUAACUAUGCACGUCUUGACGGUACCUAAUCAGAAAGCCACGGCUAACUACGUG